GAGGAUUUGACGAGAGGAGAGCUUUUUUCUUUAUGGUUAUAAAAUUUACCUAAAAGGUUAAAAUUCCUUUUUUCUUUUAAGGGACGACAAGACCCUAUAAAACUUUACUCUUUACGGGCGUCCAAGUGGGAACCACUUUAAGAGUUUUACUGGGGCAGUAAAAUAUUUGUUCUAUAUUAUACUUAAACAUACUUAUGACUUUAACGAUCUUAUUAUAAAAAGACGAAGUUACUUUAGGGAUAACAGCGUAAUAUCUUUAUAGAGUCCCUAUCGUUAAAGAUGCUUUCGACCUCGAUGUUGAAUUGAAUAAUCUCUUCGGAGCAGCUUUUGGAGAAGAAAGUCUGUUCGACUUUUAAAAAUUCACAUGAUCUGAGUUCAAACCGGA
rnacentral:rRNA from 1 species